rnacentral:tRNA from 1 species
ACCUAAGUAGUUUAAUCAAAAUAUUGAUUUGUGGUGUCAAAGAUAUAUAUCAAUUUGUUUUAUC